ensembl:lncRNA
GAACCUGCUGAACUCGUCUUUAAGCAAUACCAAGGAGUCAGAACUGGACAAAGAAGUGGCUGGUUGCUCUGAUUUCCUUGAGGCCUGACCCAGCUUGGUUCUGACUCCUUGGUGUUGGCCACCCUUCUCUCUUCUGUUGUAUGCUCACUCACUUGGGCACUUAAUAUACGACCAGUUAUCCUGUGUUAUAUAUCCCUGUGUUAUCCUGCAGGAAUGGGCUGUGUGGGCACCUGCAAUCCUCCAGCCUCUGCCUCCCCUGUAAGCCGUGCUCACAGUUCCAGCACCGCGUUUGCAGAAGUGCUGUCUGGAAAUGGCAGGAGAGCGGCAGAGUACUCCCGAGAUGCGGAAACUAUGACCACAGACAGGGGAAGUAAUGUUCUCAACGUUCCCAAGAUUAGAAUCCCACUGGACUGACUCCAGGGCCCUGCACUCUGCUGCCUCUCUGUCAGCAGGCAACAGGGGCUAUGCUGUCUGGCAGAGGACAGAGUGAGGGCCAUCAUUACAGAAGACGACCCUGCUAGCCCUUCCUCCAUUGCCCUGGCCCCAAGUGACUGGCCUAAAGUAUCUUGAGUGGUGGUCCAAGGAGAGCCCAGUGGGAGGUUUAGCAAAGUGGCUAAAGGCAACUCAGAACUCAGCCCUGGAG